rnacentral:rRNA from 1 species
CCUACGGGAGGCAGCAGUGGGGAAUAUUGGGCAAUGGGCGCAAGCCUGACCCAGCAACGCCGCGUGAAGGAAGAAUGCUUUCGGGUUUUAAACUUCUUUUCUGAGGGACGUAGAAAGUGACGGUACCUCAUGAAUAAGCCACGGCUAACUACGUGCCAGCAGCCGCGGUAAUACGUAGGUGGCAAGCGUUAUCCGGAUUUAUUGGGUGUAAAGGGCGUGUAGGCGGGAAAGCAAGUCAGAUGUGAAAACUCAGGGCUCAACCCUAAGACUGCAUUUGAAACUGGUUUUCUUGAGUGCUGGAGAGGCAAGCGGAAUUCGGUGUGUAGCGGUGAAAUGCGUAGAUAUAAGGAGGAACACCAGUGGCGAAGGCGGAUUGCUAGACAGUAACUGACGCUGAGGCGCGAAAGCGUGGGGAGCAAACAGGAUUAGAUACCCUUGUAGUC